AUGGAUUUUCCCUAAGACGGAGAAGAAAGCCUUACAUUUUGCCUUAAGGUUUUAACAGUAAUUAUUUACUACAGCGUAAAGUACACCUCAUAGUAUUAACAUACCGAACGUGUAUGGCCUGGUAUCAAGCUACUCUUCACAUUGACUGAGUUGCAGAAAUAUAAAAAUGCCCCAACAACUUCUUGAAGGGAUGUCCAGCAGGAAGCGAAGACCCAACUGGACAGAUCAGGAGUGUCUUCUUCUUGCUCAAUUAAUGCAAGAUAGGAAAGAAAUAAUUAGAGGAAAGUGCAGCACUGGAGUUUCUAUACAGGAUAAAAGACAAGCCUGGGAGGAAAUUGCCCAAGCUAUUAAUGCUGCCUUUCCACAUAUUCAGCGCACAGUUUCAGACUGUAACAAAAAGUGGGAAAAUCUGCUGGCAAAGUCAAGGGAGGAGAUCAAACGACACAAAAAACAAGCAGGUACAGAAAGGCUGUCCCUUGAAGAGUUAAGUACCGUGACCCGAGUAGUUAUUUCUGUGAUGAACCUCUCAAAUAUUCUACAACAAGAUAGAGAGGACUCUUCAGUUUCAGAGAUGAUGCAAACUCAGCAAAACAGCAGUGAUGAAGAUGGUAAUGACCACACAAUGGAUGAACAAUUCACAAACACACACCCGCCCACACAGCUUCAGCUCCCCACAUAUCCAGAUCCCUCAACUUCUCCAGAAGAACAAAAAAUGACUUUUUUUAGUAACAUCCCUAAAUCAUUUCCAAUGCAAUUUAGCACUCCCUGUGCUGCUAGCUUUGCUUCUGCAGAACAGCUAAAUCCUCCCUGCUCUACCUCGACACCAGCUGCACACUGCACAACUCUGCAGGAGCGAGUGGAUUUGGAAAUGAGUGUGCUGAGAAGACAAGAUGCAGUCUUAAAGCUGCAGGAGGAAUAUUACACUCUAAAAAUAAAGCUGAUGAAGAAGCGUAUGGAAGAGCAGCUUUCAAAGGACUGAAGUACGUGUAGAAAACAAACUGUUGCACCUGCACAGUAAACUGUGACAACUAUUCAACAAAUAACUAGUACUAUUUGUUAGUAUCAAAUCUGAGACCUGUUUUUCCUUGCUAUAGGGAAAUGUUACCAUAUUUUAAAGUUGACUGACAAAUUGACCUUUAUCACAGGAGACAUAAUGACUUAUCAUCACAGGAACGCACAGGCACCAGUGCCAUAAGCCUGGGAAUUUUAAACCAAAACGGAGAGCUGUCAUUAUCGGUUUCAUUGCUUAAACCUGUGCUUUCCACUAUGAUAUUUCAGAAUAUUUGAAGCAGGCCCUUGUAUACCAACUCUUGUCACAGCCAACUCAUCUGUUUGACUGUGAAGAGGGUGGAAAAUCAUAAAUGUGACAUGUUACUUCCCUCAACAUGCAGGCCAGGUCAUCAACAAGAUCCCUCAUUGGCUUCCUAACUACAUGUGAAAUAAAAGAGACAACGUAUUGUUUGGCUCAAGCAAUGUUUGGUCAUAAAAAUAAAAAAAACGAGCUAAGAGACUUUGUCACCUCCUAAUAGGCUGUGAUGCAUCAGGAGCCUCUCUCCGUCCAUCUGCAGAUCAUGCUGCUUGUAUUAAUGUGUGGAUGGUAGAAUGAGGAAAUGAACCUCUGCUUGGCUUCAGUUGUCAGUGUUCUCUUACAGGUGAUUGUUUCAGUUAUAGUCCAACAGUACUUUGCAAUUGCCACACUAGAUUUUCAUACGUUACAAAUGUGCAUUAUUAGCGAUGAUGUUAAACAGAACAAACCAAAACGUGAUGUUUAUUACACUUCAUUGUAGAUGCCUUUGAAGUUAUGCAGCCUAGUGUUUUUAGUAAAUAAAGAAACUUGUGUUUGGAGCCUCAUGUUCCUUUUUUUUACAGUCCACAGUCUGAGAGUGUAAUAAUAAUCACAACAAUGAGGUAAUUAUACAAACUUUAAUUACAAAGGUGUUUCAAUAACACCUUAAUGUUCAUAUCUGGGCUUAAGAUUUGGUCUUGUAGAUAAACAUUUAGCUGCUUAAACUUUAUUGCUGAUAUCCAAACUAUUUAUAUACAAUGAGAAAAGCUUAAAAUAAGUACAAAAGUACCAAAUCAUGAAAUGACAUUUAACAGAAUCUCACAUAAACUUAAACUGCUUUCACAGAUGAAUGCCAUUGACCAUGUAGAAUUACAACAAAUAUGCUCUCGAAUUCUUAAAAUCAUAUUUAUUUUCUGUAGGAAGUGUGAUUGACUUUAGUUUAUAAGGCAGAGAAGCUCAUAUGUAUCCUGUAGAAGUUUUUCACUGCGAGAAAUGUUUAUUUGCUGAUUCAUGCCAUUUAGUCCUGAGUGCGAAUUUGGAAGCCAGAAAUGUUUGACAUAUACCAAUAUACUGUACAUAUUCAUGAAAGUUAAACUCAGUGUUGCCAGUGUAAGUAAAGGUACAAUCAUGUGCUGUCUAGACAAAUGUAGUAAUUUGUGUGUAAUAUUUCUCAUAAAUCAGUUUAUUUGUAAGUGACUGCAGGUU